rnacentral:rRNA from 1 species
UAGGGAAUCUUCCGCAAUGGGCGAAAGCCUGACGGAGCAACGCCGCGUGAGUGAUGAAGGUCUUCGGAUCGUAAAACUCUGUUAUUAGGGAAGAACAAAUGUGUAAGUAACUAUGCACGUCUUGACGGUACCUAAUCAGAAAGCCACGGCUAACUACGUGCCAGCAGCCGCGGUAAUACGUAGGUGGCAAGCGUUAUCCGGAAUUAUUGGGCGUAAAGCGCGCGUAGGCGGUUUUUUAAGUCUGAUGUGAAAGCCCACGGCUCAACCGUGGAGGGUCAUUGGAAACUGGAAAACUUGAGUGCAGAAGAGGAAAGUGGAAUUCCAUGUGUAGCGGUGAAAUGCGCAGAAAUAUGGAGGAACACCAGUGGCGAAGGCGACUUUCUGGUCUGUAACUGACGCUGAUGUGCGAAAGCGUGGGGAUCAAACAGG